GGGUCGUUAGCUCAGUUGGUAAGAGCAGUUGACUUUUAAUCAAUUGGUCGCAGGUUCGAAUCCUGCACGACCCACCA
rnacentral:tRNA from 1 species